rnacentral:rRNA from 1 species
GUUUGAUCCUGGCUCAGGACGAACGCUGGCGGCGUGCCUAACACAUGCAAGUCGAACGGAGUCGGCCCCGCAAGGGACUGACUUAGUGGCGAACGGGUGAGUAACGCGUGAGCAACCUGCCUUUCAGUGAGGGACAACAGUUGGAAACGACUGCUAAUACCGCAUAAAGCAUUUUGACCGCAUGAUCGAGAUGCCAAAGAUUUAUUGCUGAAAGAUGGGCUCGCGUCUGAUUAGAUAGUUGGUGGGGUAACGGCCCACCAAGUCGACGAUCAGUAGCCGGACUGAGAGGUUGAACGGCCACAUUGGGACUGAGAUACGGCCCAGACUCCUACGGGAGGCAGCAGUGGGGAAUAUUGGGCAAUGGGGGAAACCCUGACCCAGCAACGCCGCGUGAAGGAAGAAGGCUUUCGGGUUGUAAACUUCUUUUACCAGGGACGAAGAAAGUGACGGUACCUGGAGAAAAAGCCACGGCUAACUACGUGCCAGCAGCCGCGGUAAUACGUAGGUGGCAAGCGUUGUCCGGAUUUACUGGGUGUAAAGGGCGUGUAGGCGGAGAUGCAAGUCAGAUGUGAAAUCCCCGGGCUUAACCCGGGAACUGCAUUUGAAACU